GGUGAGGUGGCCGAGUGGUCGAAGGCGCACGCCUGGAAAGUGUGUAACGGGCAACCGUUCGAGGGUUCGAAUCCCUCCCUCACCGCCA
rnacentral:tRNA from 4 species